ACAAGAAGUAGCUUAAACUAAAAGCAUCUGGCUUACAACCAGAACAUGUUCACCGGAACCUUCCUGA
rnacentral:tRNA from 1 species